AGCUCAGUUGGUAGAGCAAAGGACUGAAAAUCCUUGUGUGCCUGGUUCGAUUCCUGGA
rnacentral:tRNA from 1 species